AUGCUCUGCGAGGCGCUCCUACUGCCGCCCCUGAGGAUCUCCCUCAAACACCCAAGCGUAUUUGGGAGGAGCGAGAAGUUGGACGUGAUUCUGGAUAAGGGUGUCAAUGACUCUAAUGUUGUUGUUGCCUUUAGACGCCCAAGGCCCGAAUGGAACAUGCUUAAUUGGCUUGUGUAUUUUGCCCCAAUGGACCGGUGUCUUAUUCUGCAGUUUUCAAAGGCUAUAGGGAAGAUCAAAGAUGCCAUCUUAGCCCUGGAAGUGGCAACAGUGGACGAUGAUAACGAUGAAGUCACGGCGCGAAGCCCUCCUGAAGUGCCUCGAGACUGCUGCUCGGCGCUACAGGAUACCGUGAAAUUCAGUUCACCGUGGCUUGGUUUUGUCAGGACGCAUAUGACCAUCGACAUCCUGGGGCGGCAUGCAUACGGCAGCAUGAGGCGGUUCAUGGCCCGGCAGCGGGAGACGGUGGAGAAGCUGUGGAACUCGAUCAAGGAGCAGCAGAUCCUGCGCAAGCAUGACAAGUCGACGAGCGGGAAGCUGGACGUGAACGCCUUUGAGCGGCUCCAGGAGAAGUCUAUGCAAAAACGCUCAAGAAUGCAAGUGAGAAGAAGAGGAAGAGGAGGUCCUGAACGUUUCUCCCACACAUCAUAG
rnacentral:rRNA from 1 species